UACGAAGGGGGCUAGCGUUGUUCGGAAUUACUGGGCGUAAAGCGCGCGCAGGCGGUCUUCCAAGUCAGUGGUGAAAGCCCGGAGCUCAACUCCGGAAUUGCCAUUGAAACUGUGAGACUGGAGUACGAGAGAGGUGAGUGGAAUUCCCAGUGUAGAGGUGAAAUUCGUAGAUAUUGGGAAGAACACCGGUGGCGAAGGCGGCUUACUGGCCCAUUACUGACGCUGAGCUCGAAAGCGUGG
rnacentral:rRNA from 1 species